CAGCCGCCGCGGUAAAACGAAGGGGGCUAGCGUUGUUCGGAUUUACUGGGCGUAAAGCGCACGUAGGCGGGCUUUUAAGUCAGGGGUGAAAUCCCAGAGCUCAACUCUGGAACUGCCUUUGAUACUGGAAGUCUUGAGUAUGGAAGAGGUGAGUGGAAUUCCGAGUGUAGUGGUGAAAUUCGUAGAUAUUCGGAGGAACACCAGUGGCGAAGGCGGCUCACUGGUCCAUUACUGACGCUGAGGUGCGAAAGCGUGGGGAGCGAACAGGAUUAGAUACCCCAGUAGUCCCUGUCUCUUAUAC
rnacentral:rRNA from 1 species